rnacentral:rRNA from 1 species
UUUGGAGGGCAAGUCUGGUGCCAGCAGCCGCGGUAAUUCCAGCUCCAAUAGCGUAUAUUAAAGUUGUUGUGGUUAAAAAGCUCGUAGUUGAACCUUGGGCCUGGCCGUCCGGUCCGCCUCACCGCGUGUACUGGCUCGGCCGGGCCUUUCCCUCUGUGGAACCCCAUGCCCUUCACUGGGCGUGGCGGGGAAACAGGACUUUUACUGUGAAAAAAUUAGAGUGCUCCAGGCAGGCCUAUGCUCGAAUACAUUAGCAUGGAAUAAUAGAAUAGGACGUGUGGUUCUAUUUUGUUGGUUUCUAGGACCGCCGUAAUGAUUAAUAGGGACAGUCGGGGGCAUCAGUAUUCAAUUGUCAGAGGUGAAAUUCUUGGAUUUAUUGAAGACUAACUACUGCGAAAGCAUUUGCCAAGGAUGUUUUCAUUAAUCAGGAACGAAAGUUAGGGGAUCGAAGACGAUCAGAUACCGUCGUAGUCUUAACCAUAAACUAUGCCGACUAGGGAUCGGAUGAUGUUGAUUUUUUAAUGACUCAUUSGGCGCCUUACGGGAAAC